UAGGCGGCCACCGGUUCGCGAACCAACCAUCCUCCGAGAAAAGCACCGUGAGAGGGUAAAAAAAAAAACAGAUCUGCCAUGAGUGAGGAACUCGAGCGGGACUACGAGAUCGGGGAGGAGAUCGGGCGCGGCCGCUUCGGCGUCGUCCGCCGCUGCGCGUCCCGCUCCUCCGGCGACCUCUACGCCGUCAAGUCGGUCGACCGCUCGCGCCUCGCCGACGACCUGGACCGCGGCCUGGCCGAGCUGGAGCCCAAGCUGGCGCAGCUGGCCGCCGCGGGCAACCCGGGCGUCGUGCAGGUGCACGCGGUGUACGAGGACGAGGCGUGGACGCACGUGGUCAUGGACCUCUGCGCCGGCCCCGACCUGCUCGACUGGGUCCGCCUCCGCCACGGCGCGCCCGUCCCGGAGCCCGAGGCCGCCGCCGUGGCCGCGCAGCUCGCCGAGGCCCUCGCGAUCUGCCACCGCCGCGGCGUCGCGCACCGCGACGUCAAGCCGGACAAUGUGCUCCUCGACGCCCCCGACGGCGGGGACGGCCCCGUGCGGGCCCGGCUCGCGGACUUCGGGUCGGCGGCGCUGGUCGGCGGCGGGGAGGGCGCGCGGGGGCUGGUGGGCACGCCGCACUACGUGGCGCCCGAGGUGGUGGCGGGGGACGAGUACGGGGAGAAGGCGGACGUGUGGAGCGCCGGGGUGGUCCUCUACGUGCUCCUCACCGGCGGCGCGCUGCCCUUCAGCGGCGAGACGGCGUCGGACGUGUUCGCGGCCGUGCUGCGCGGGAGGCCCCGGUUCCCGCCGCGGCUGUUCGCCGGGGUGUCGCCGCUGGCCAAGGACCUGAUGCGGCGCAUGAUGUGCCGCGACGUCUCCCGGAGGUUCUCCGCGGAGCAAGUCCUCCGUAAGCGCCCGCCCCGCCCGCCCGCCCGUACACCACCUUGAUUCUUUCUCCAGAUUGGGGCAUGGGCAGCGCUGCAUUUGGAAUAUCCGAGGACUCCAAAAGGCACCCGUGGAUCGUGAGCGGAGGGGGCGCCCGAGAGGCGGUGCAGCCGACCUGAGGGGCCCGUAGCCGGCCCGGCCCGGCCCACGUACGUCGACUCUUCCUCCCGUGGAGACAACGUGUCUAGCGUCCUUGUAUAUGCGACGAGAGUGUGCGAAGUACGUACUGGUAGUACUAGUAGAGAGAGAGCUUUGGGGUACCAUUGUAUAAAUCCGGAGUGCCGAUGUGCCAGCCAGGGUUUGGCUCUAGGAGCUAGUAUCUUUUUUUUCUUCUCCUUUUUUCUUGCUGGGCUUUUUUUUGCUGCCUUGGUUAGAGAACGCCUGCCUGUUCGGUUUCUGCGUGUGCUGGGAUAUGCUGCCUGCCGCUCAUGUACAAACUAACCUGCUUGCUUGCUUGUAUAAAGUCUACUAUAAAUAAGAUUGAUCUUUGUUCCGUUUUCCA